rnacentral:tRNA from 1 species
GUUUUAAUAGUUUAAAAAAAACAUUGAUUUUGUAAAUCAAUAAUAAGAAUCUUCUUUUAAAACU